CCCGUGGGGCCCUUUAUCUCCUGGUAAACAGGACCCGGGGGAGAGGGGAGGCCCCUAGGAAGGAAGCCAGGGUAAGGCGCAGGCUGUUGCCAGGGUGAUUCAGGCAGCAUCACCCACCACUGCCCACCCAGCCUGUCCAUCUGAGGCAGUCGUGUGGGACAGAGAAAGCCAGGGUGGGGCUCGGGGGUGGGGGUGGGCAGUGGCUGUAAGUAGGCAAGCGGGGACUGGCAUCUAGGCAGGAGGGAGGCGCACCUGCAGGUGCAGGUGUCUCUGAACCCAUUCCUGAUGGCUCUGUAGGCCUCUGCACCUCCAGUCCCAUCCCUGUGGGCGACCGCUGCCUACACCUGGUGUCACCCAGCAAUGGGGCUGCUGGUGGGGUGAGGCCAUCCCACGCAACUCUGGGGUCUGUGAAGCCACCAAGGAUCGAGGAAUGGAAGAGCUGCCUGAGUGUAGAGGGAGUUCGGUCAGGCUUCUUAAACUUGGAGACUUGGAAACAGAAGGCCUUGUAGGCCACAUAGGUUUUCAGAGACUCGCCUGGCAGAGGCCUGGAGCGUCCUGCUGCGUGGACUGUGAGCACCGAGCCACCAGGAGGCGACGUUGUGGACGUUUACCAGCGGGAGUUCCUGGCGCUGCGCGAUCGCUUGCACGCAGCUGAGCAGGAGAGCCUCAAGCGCUCCAAGGAGCUCAACCUGGUGCUGGACGAGAUCAAGAGGGCCGUGUCAGAAAGGCAGGCGCUGCGAGACGGAGACGGCAAUCGCACCUGGGGCCGCCUAACAGAGGACCCCCGAUUGAAGCCGUGGAACGGCUCACACCGGCACGUGCUGCACCUGCCCACUGUCUUCCAUCACCUGCCACACCUGCUGGCCAAGGAGAGCAGUCUGCAGCCCGCGGUGCGCGUGGGCCAGGGCCGCACCGGAGUGUCGGUGGUGAUGGGCAUCCCGAGCGUGCGGCGCGAGGUGCACUCGUACCUGACUGACACUCUUCACUCGCUCAUCUCCGAGCUGAGCCCGCAGGAGAAGGAGGACUCGGUCAUCGUGGUGCUGAUCGCCGAGACUGACUCACAGUACACUUCGGCAGUGACAGAGAACAUCAAGGCCUUGUUCCCCACGGAGAUCCAUUCUGGGCUCCUAGAGGUCAUCUCACCCUCCCCCCACUUCUACCCUGACUUCUCCCGCCUCCGAGAGUCCUUUGGGGACCCCAAGGAGAGAGUCAG
rnacentral:sRNA from 1 species